rnacentral:lncRNA from 1 species
UUUUUCCUGCCCUCAGUUUCUUAAGUUAGAAAUGCAUUUAAACAAUGACCAAGUCAUGCUGCAACAGGCACUGGGAACAAAUGAACAACUGCAGCAAGAAAUAGCUAAGCUUGGGUCUGAAAUCCCAACACUGAAAAAAGAGUGAGGCCAAUAAUGCUCAAAAGGGUGAGUUGAUAAAAAUUUUUAAUAACUCCACUGUGUAUUCUAUGUCUGCUGUUUUAUCCUUGCUUUUCACAGAACACAUCAAUGCUUGGUUUUAGGGAAAACAUCAUAAAACAAUUAUUUGCCAUUUCUAAUUAUGUAUUAUUUGGAAAGUGUCCAGAAGCAAAUGUAUCAUACUUUUUUUAAAAAAACUAUUGGGCUGUAAAAUAAUUAGAGAGAUGAAAUCUAAUUAACAUAAUAAAACAAAUAUCUGACUUAAAAUGAGUUUUACAAUUAACCCAAAAUGUUGUAGCUAGACCUUCUUAAACUCUAAGUGGCAUUGAACCUGUUGAUGUCAUUGAAAAUACACUGCUGCUUUUUAAUUAUUUCAGGGGAUAAACAACUUAAUCUUCCUCCAACUAUUGUAUUAAUUUUGCCCCCAAGUAACUCAGUGAUCAUCUUUCCUCUACAAUUAAAAGCAAGGUUUUCUUUAUAAAAUCUUGCCAAAAUGAGACUUUUUCUUCUGUUCAUGAGAUGACUAAAACUCUUCAGAGAUUUGAAGAUGAUAGAAAUAUCACCAAACAUGACUAUAACUCUUUCAAUCAAAUACUGCUGUGAUGCUUCCAUGUGAAGGUAUAGGGUUAAAAUGAUAAUUUUUUUAUGCUAUGUGUAUCUCCCACAACAAAAGGAUAAAAACAUUAUGCAAUGAUCACCUGGGAACCUACCACCAACUUCAGGAAAAAAGAAGACUAGAUUCAUCUUCUGAGAGUCCUCCUAGGAUCCAUUGCUCCCCCAUUCCUUCACAGUCCAUCCCUGUCCUGAUGUGAAAUUUUCUUGUAUUGUUCCCUUGCUUUGCUUUUCAGCCUUGCACAGUAAAGGACUUUAUAAAUGGAACCUCUUCUGUGUGCGUUUCUGAAACAGCUUUUUUGUUCAAUCUUUAGUUCCAGAUCAAUUCAUCCUGUUACAUGUUGCUAUACUUCCUUUAUUUUCAUGGCUAGAUAAUAUUCCAUCCCAUGAACAUACCACCAUCUACUUGUUCAUUUACUGAAUAAGUGAGUGAAUCUGUUAAUGGAUAUUUAGGUUGCUUUCCUUUUUAUCCUUUUUGUUAUCAUUACACAGGUUGCUGUGAAUCAUUCAUCUCCUUAUGUACAUGGACAAAAUUGUCUCUAUGGCUGUUUAUGAGUAAAACGUUUCUCUUUAAUGCCAAAUUGCUUCCCAGAUCUACCUCUUCGGCAUUCCACCAGCCUUGUGUAAGUGCCAGGGUUACUCCAUAUUCUCACUGGGCUUAUAAUGUUUUGCCAGUCUGGCUUAUGUAAUAUGACAGCUCAUUAUGGUUUUAAUAUUCAUCUCCCUGAUUUCUAAUGAGGCUGUGUAUCUUUUCCUUCUUAUCAGCCCUUUGUGUCUUCCCGUUAGGGGAAAGCCUAUUCAGUCCUUUUGUUGGUUUCACUUUUGGGUUCUUUGUCUUUUUCUAAUUAGUUUGCAGAAGUUUCUUUGGUGAGUGAUAAACACUGUAAGUCUUUUUUCUCCCAAGUUGUGACUUCUCUUUUGUUCUUUCUGGUCUCUGCAUUGGCUAUUCUUUUAAAAGCCAUGUGGAUGAUCUCAUGAGGGAAGGAAUAAAAACUUAGUUUUCGGAAUCUAGACUCUUCCUUGUUGUGUUACAAACCAUGUAGAGUCUAUCAUCCUGGAAAGCUGAAUUGUGUUUCUCUUGACUAAAGGUAGUAACUAUAUCCCAGCAUUUAGCUGCAUCUCUGUCAUCAUUAGGCAGCAUUUUAAUAGUAGCUUAGUCGUGCUGGAACAAAUGACUACUCCACUAAUAUCCCUAUCACAUUGUACCUCAGUUAUUCAAGAAGCCAUAACAACCUGACAGACACAUGACUGCCUUUUGCCCAAGACAAGAAUGUGUUGCAGACAUUCCAGGUUCCUACAAUGGGAGCACAGACUUUUUAGACAUACCUGUUUCCAAAACCUUCUUCUCCAUUUUCCAAAUGGAUGAGGUUAGAUAAGAUCUAUAGGCUUCAAUUUUCUUUUCUCUGUACUGGGACUAAUGAUAGCUAGCUUGGAGGGUUUUUGAGUAGAUUUAAUUAGAUUCUCUAUUUGGAGAACACAUCAUUUAAUAUAUGCUCAGGAAAUGGCAGAUAUUUUGGGGUACCAGGGAUUAAACUCAGGGGCAGUAGACCACUGAACCACAUCCCCAGUCCUGUUUUGUAUUUUAUUUAGAGACAGGGUCUCACUCAGUUGCUUAGCACCUUGCCAUUGCUGAGGCUGGCUUUGAACUCGAGAUCCUCCUGCCUCAGCCUCCAGAGCCCUGGGAUUACAGACACGUGCCACCAAGCCCAGCAUAAAUGACUGUUAUUAGUGGUAUUAUAAUUGUAAAAUUCAUGGAUAUAUCAAGAAUCACUAUACAUAGAUAUUUCCAUGUUAUAAAAACAAAGGGGUAUACAUCUAAACUCAAGGGAAGGUAGAAUUGGAAUCAGAGCUCAGAGCUACAAGUAGCAGGACUUGAUUCUUGCCACAGGACAAUGAUUGUUGCCACAGUGACAGGGCUAGGACCCUAAGAGGGAAGUAAGGUACCGAUGUUCUUAUCUUCUCAAUUUGCUCUUCUAAUUCCUAUUGUAUUCUAGCUUAAUGCAGUUGCUCCACUUUAAGAAAUAGAGUAACAAGAAAAUCCAUGGCGCUAGAGCAGGGGCUUAUUCUCUUCCUACAUAGGAGGAGCUCUUUAGAAGCCAGGCUGGAAUUCUUUCUCAUCUCUUUGCCCAUGUUGAGCUCAUGUGCAGCACAGAGAUCUUUUGAUUUAUCCCUAAACUAUGAAUGAAAUGACAUUAUUACUGCCCAUGAGGAGUGUAAAACUCACUGGGAAGAAAGCAUUCCUGUAAAGAAAGGAGAGUAAUGAAGAAAAGGUAAUUGUCCAACUGUGGGUUUUAUUUUCAUAGUUACAUCCUAUAGGAAAUUAAUUGAUAUAGUGAAAUAAUUAUUAAUUGAAAUUGGUUAUAUUUUCAAAAUUUGCCACUUAUUUUAAAGAGUGUUCUCCCACCCCCCCCCCAUAUUUUGUUUUCUAUACAAGUGUCACAAGUGGUGGUCCAAUCUGAUAACUUUUUAGCUUCAAAUUAAUUUUCUUUGUGCUCAUCAUUAUGUUCAAAAGGGGGUGUUCACUGGGUUGACAGGAAAGGUGGAUCAAUUUUUUGCCAUGUUAAAUCAACUGACAUGCCCAAGGUCACCUCCCGAUAGGGAAUCAUUCUCACAGACAGAGCUGAAGUAUUUAGACUUGUGGUUCUGUACUUCUUCAUCUCACCGAUUUUUCCAGCUGAAGUGAAGAUCUAUUUUUGUCUGGAGAGUUUAAGUAAGGUGUGAGGCUAGUGAUGGAAUGAAUGGCUCUCACAGGGAACAAGAACUCCAGCUUCUCAGUGACAGCCUGUGCCUGCCUCUCCCCCAGGAUGCUUUCCUGCUUAUCAAAGGAAUGAAGACAAGUGGACUUAGGUCCCACUGUGCUGUAGUGCCUUUGAAAAUGCCUGUGAAAUAUAAAUCAGUGUUUCCAUUUCUGAAGAAAUAGCAAGAAAACUGUAGUCCAAAAGGAGAGUUGAAGAAAAUAAAUUGGCAAGACCCUUUUACGAGUCAUUUUUCUAAAAGAUACCCAGAAAGAAAAACAAACAAACAAAAACAAAAGCAUCUAUUAUUCCAUUACAUGAUUUUUGGAUAUAUCUCUACUUAUACAAUUUGUUCUGAAACAAAGAUAUUAUGCUUUUCCAAAUGGCAAAUGUUGCUAUAAACACCCAGCUAGCAAAACCCUCCUCUUGUAAUUUUUAGAUCACCUCAUUUCCAAGAAUAAUACUGCAAUGGAGGGACAGCUUGUCAGGGUGACAGCCAUCACUCACUCAACAAUUGGAAAGAUGUGCUGAGCACUGUCCAAGUUCAGGGCAGGAUGCUUGUUGUCUAGCCAGGAAAUGAGGCUUCUGAUAUUCUAGUUGGCCAUUAAAGAAUGCACACCCCACCCCCAACACACACACUCACACACUCACACACAUACCCUGCUGAAAUACGUGUGGUAGCUCCCUGCUGAGUAAACAUUAUCAUCAUGCCAAAGGCACCCCUGAAAGUCCUUCCUGAGGUCAUUGUAGUAUGUGUCCCACCUCUGACCACAGCUAAAAGCAACUGAAUAUAGCUGGCCUGUCUCCACUGCCUAAAGAGGGAACUGAUUUUAGAAAAAAAUAUUCCAGUAAAAAUAGACACCCGUAAAAUAAGAUUAACCCAGAGUAUUGAUUUCUACUAUAAUUCUUGUCUUUGAAGUAAAUCAUUCAAACGAGAUUAGAAGCACCUCUAAUGUUUUCACAUAAUCAAGUAUUUUUCUUAUUUGUUUCCUCCUAAAAUAGUAGUUUACUAUGGAAUUAAUUUUUGAAUCUGAAUUUGUUUUAUAUGUGAGAAAGUAAAGAGGAUCUAUUCCAUGCUGAUCGGUCCACCAGAAGAAAAAAAAAAAUCCCACUAGAAAGACUUGUUACAAUUUUCCAAAGGAUCUGUCACCACUGGUGUGUUUACCAGAGUGCCCUAAUUCUGAUAAAGACAACUAUUUAGGUUCUUUGCCCUGACUUUGUUCUUUCACUAUGGAAGAUGUUGUCACCUUGUUAUUGGUACUCCUUUGACUAUUUGACCAAUGUCCAUCAAGUUUCCAGACAGAGAAAUGUUUACAUAGGCUAUGCCUUCUCCCUGUGGAUGGAUAUGUCAAUUCUUAGCAUUGAAAUGUCAGAGAGCUAUUGUGCUAAAAGAUGAGGGACUCCAAAUGGCAGGUGGAUGGUGGUUGUUUUUUCAAUUUUUUUUUUAUGAUGUUGAGCUAGAAGGUGGGCAUAUGCCUUUGUCCCUCUCCACUCAUUACUGGAUUCUAGUUUCUUUCUCAACAUGCAAAGUGUCUUUGGGGGGAUCCUCAGGAAGUUGGAAGUGUGUUACAAGUGCAUAAACCACAGGCCCCAUCUGGGUCUAGUGAGUUGGAACCCACAGUUUAGCAAAAUAUCCAUAUAACUUAUAUGCACAUUAAAGUUUGAGAAGUGUUUCCCUACCAUAUGCACAUAUAUCAAAGAAUACACCCAUAUUCUCUUUUUUACCUUAUUUUUGCCCUAUUACUAAAAGCCUUUCCAAAUAUUAAAUUAAAUUAUAUAUUUAAUUACACAAUACGUAGGACACACAAGUUAGAUUCUGCCUUUUCUUUAUUUUAACUAAUUAAUUUAUUUGUUCUAAUCAGUUACGCACGACAGUGGAAUGCUUUUUGAUUCAUUGUACACAAAUGGAGCACAAUUUUUCACUUCUCUGGUUGUACACAAAAUAGGGUCACACCAUUCAUGCAAUCAUACAUGUACCUAGGGUAACGAUGUUUGUCUCAUUCCACCAUCUUUCCUGCCCCAUUCCCCUUCCUUUUUCUCCUUCUCCUUUGCCCAGAGUUCCUCUCUUUUUCCCAUGUCUGCCCCCCCCCCCCGCCCCCUUAUGGAUCAGCAUCCAUUUAUCAGAGAGAACAUUUGGCCUUUGGUUUUGAGGGAUUAGCUUACUUCUCUUAGCAUGAUAUUCUCCAACUCCAUUUAUUUCUGAAAAUGCCAUAAUUUUAUUCUCUUUUAUUGCUGAGUAAUAAUCUAUUGUGUAUAUAUACCACAGUUUCUUUAUCUAUUCAUCUAUUGAAGGAUAUAUAGGUUGAUUUCACAGUUUGGCUAUUGUGAAUUGUGCUGCUAUAAACAUCGAUGUGGUUGUGCCACUGUAGUAUGCUGUUUUUAAGUCCUUUGGGUAUAGACCAAGGAGUGGAAUAGCUGGGUCAAAAGGUGGUUCCAUUCCAAGAUUUUUUAAAAAUAUUUUUUAGUUGUUUAUGGACCUUUAUUUUAUUUAUUUGUAUUCAGUGCUGAGAAUUGAACACAGUGCCACAAGCGUGCUAGGCAAGUACUCCACUACUGAGCCACAACCCCAGUCCCCAUAAUAAAUUUUUUAAGGAAUCUCCAUACUACUUUCCAGAUUGGUUGCUCCAAUUUGCAGCACUACUAGCAAUGUAUGAAUGUGCUUUUCCACCCACAUCUUCGCCAACACUUAUUGUUUCUUGUAUUCUUGAUAACUGCCAUUUGACUGGAGUGAGAUGGAAUCUUAGAGUAGUUUUACUAGAGAUGUUGAACAUUUUUUCAUAUUUGUUGAUUGAUUGUAUAUCUUCUUCUGAGAAGUGUCUGUUCAGUUCCUUAGCCAAUUUACUGAUUGGGUUGUUUGUUUUAUUGAAGCUAAGUGUUUUGAAUUUUUUAUAUAUCCUGGAAAUUAGUGCUCUCUCUGAUGUGCAUAUGGUAAAAAUUUGCUUCCAUACUGUAGGCUCUCUCUUUACCUCAUUGAUUGCUUUUUUUCUUCUGAGAAGAAUCUUUUUAAUUUGUAGAUUCUGCCUUUUCUAGUGGAUCAUGAAGUCAGGGUUGAAAAAAGACAUAGCACAAAGAUAGGACUAUCCAUGGGUGUUUAGACAUGAAUCUUAGGCAUUCUGACUCUUUAUAUUGAAAAAUAUAUUCUUAAUUAGCACUAGUCUAGUCAAAAUUAUUGACUAAAUAUGAUAUUCAUUAAAUUAAUAACAAAAGUCAAAUAUUAGAGUUAACAUUCUUUUUUUACCUCUGAAUUUUUGUGGUUUGUGCUAUUGUUAGUGUCACAAUCACUAUCAUACUGGGAAAGAAUCAUAUCAAUUUAAACCUCGUGAAAAUAGGCUAAUAAAUAUCAAAGUUUGGAAAGGUUUUUUUUUUAUUUGUUUAUUUUUGUGUGUAUGUGUGGUGCUGGGGAUUGAACCUAGGGCUUCUAUCAACUGAGCUAUAUCCUUAUCCCUGGGAAGGUUCUUAAAGCUAAUAGUUUCAGCAUAUGAAAUCUUAAUAAAAUUGUUCUUCUCUCUUUUUUCCAAGGUGAUUUUUUGCAUUGUGUAUGCCUGUAGAACAAUGGACCUGGGUUAUUUCGGGGUGAAUGUCGCAAUUGUACAAGCUGAAGCCACUUUCAGAAUCCUGGGACAGUCUUGUCCUUUGACCACCACAGGAUAACAACAGUGAUGGUGAUACCAACUCAAAUCUCUGCAAGCACAUUAUAUUAGAUGUGCCCUAAUAGUUUCUGAAAUUUUAUGAAAACAAAAUGCUCACAAAUAACAAGCAAACUGGCAAAUUAUAUUACUCUAGUAUCCUAUGAUAAAAAGUGCAGUUCCUGUAUAUGAAUCACUAUUAAUUAAUUACUUGGCAUAUAUUACCUCCAAUUGUGUUAUGUGGAAGCCAUUAUUCUUUUUAUAAAUUAGAACAUUAUACUUAUUCAUAAUAUUUGGCUUCCUUUUAACAAAAUUAUACAUAAAAGGAAUUUUAUUUCAAUCCCCAUCCCCCCUUCUUUCCUUUUUCCUCUCCAUUUUCUCCCUCCUUUACUGAUCUUCCGUUCUUUUUUUAAAAAAAUAUUUUUUGGUUGUUGUUGGACCUUUAUUUUAUUUGUUUAUUUAUAUGCAGUGCUAAGAAUCAAACCCAGUGCCUCACACAUGCUAGGCAAGUGCUCUACCAACGAGCUACAACCCUAGCUCCUUUUGAUUUGUUUUUGAUUGGUACUUUCUACAUAUAAAUAAAGGUGAAUAGAGAUUUUGUUAGAUGUAUUCCACAUUUCCUCCCCUCUCCUUUCCUUCCUCCUCCCUCUCAUCUCCUACUUCUACUGAUCUUCCCUAUAUCUUCAUGAGAUCCAGUCCCUUCAUGAGAUCCACUGCCUUCAUUCCCUUAUUUUGCUCUAGCUCUAACAUAUGAGAGAAAACAUUUGACCUUUGAUUUCUCUGAAGUCUGGCUUAUUUCACUUAUGAUUUUCUCUAUUUCCAUUCAUUUACUGGCAAAUGCUAUUAUUUCAUUCUUCUUUAUGGCUGAGCAAAACUUCAUUAUGAAUAUAUACCGCAUUUUCUUGAGCCAUUCAUCUGUUGAUGGGCAUCUGGAUUAAUUCCAUAAUUUGGCUAUUGUGAAUUGAGCUGCAAUAAACAUUAUAGACACUAUUUUCCCAUAGUAUGCUGAUUUAAGUUCUUUUGGACAAAUACCAAGGAGUGGAACAGCUGGAUAAUAUGGUAGUUCCAUUCCUAGUUUGUUGAUGAAUCUUCAUAGUUUUUUCCAAAGUGGUUGUACUAAUUUGCAGUCCCACCAACAAUGUAUGAGUGUACCUUUUCCCCACUUCUUCACUAACAUUGAUAAUUAUUUAUAUUCUUUUUUUUUAAAAAAAUAUAUUUUUAGUUGUUGUUGGACACAUGCCUUUAUUUUAUUUAUUUUUAUGUGGUGCUGAGGAUCAAACACAGUGCCUCGCACGUGCUAGGUGAGCGCUUUACCGCUGAGCUACAACCCCAGCACCUAAUUAUAUUCUUGAUAACUGCCAUUCUGACUGGAGUGAGAUGAAAUCUUAGUACAGUUUGAUUUGCAUUAUUCUUAUUUUAAAUAAUCCAAGGUUCAUGAAAAUGAAACAGUGUUUCUAAGAUUGUGUAAAUGAAUGAUGGAGCUCCUAUGCACACUGAGGUCUUUACCUCCCACAAACCUUUGCUUCGCUAAGCUACGGAGCUCCCAAGCACUUGACAUGUAAUGCAUGAUUGCUGUUUUAGGCAACAAAGAAAGUCAGCUGCAUGUAGAGAACUCCUGUGGAACUCUGCACCUCUGACCCACUGUAGAGCCACCAAAGUCCUGGGCACUUCUGGCUAACAGUAAAAUUCUGAUUGACUUUCUAGGUGGUGGUGAUCCUGGGUCUGCAAGGACCUACCUGUGUUGCUUAUAGGGAGAGUGUGUGAUUUGUCAAUUUAUUUCAACAUCUACAGUUCAUUUAAUCAGUGCAGCUCUUAUAUUCUAUUUUCUUCAAGAUUUUUCUCUAUAGUGGUUCUUUUAAUUUUUAUAUCAGUCCCCUCUAUUGGUCUCCUUCACUUGUAUGGGCAUAACUCAAGUCAUCCCAUCCUCCUUCCUGAAAAUAAAUAAAUAAAUAAAAAUCAAGCAGCACUAAGAAACAUAUUUUUCUUCUUUCUCUCAGUCAAUCAAUCAAUCAGUCUUCCUCACUCCAUUCAAUCAAUUGAUCAGUCUUCAAUCUUCCUUCCUCCAUCCCCAGCCUUGUCUCUCUCUGAUACUGGGAAGCAAUUUACUACUAAUCUAUACCUCCAGCCUUUUUAAAAAAAAAAUUGAGAAAGGGUCUUUCUAAAUUGAUGAGGCUCUUCUCCAACUUGCAGUCCUCCUGUCUCAGCCUCCUACAUUGCUGGGAGUAUUUUCUUUGACUCUGGUUCUCCCCAUACUAUUGCUCCAUUCUAAUGUAUCCUUUUACCCUUUCUAUUUCUUUAAACAGUGGCUUCCUCACUCUCUGUCUAUAAAUCAUUAUUUUUCAUUCUCUUUUGAACCCACUGCCCUCUGGUUUUCUUCUCUACCACUCACUGAAUCUAAUUUAACCAAGUUUCAUGAUACUGAGAUUCAGUAGCCUUCUUUUUGGAGGAAAAUGAACAAGGAAAGGGACUGUAAAUAACAUUUAUGGAAAACCUAAUCAGAGCCAUCUUUCUGCACUGAAUUCUGUUUUCUCAUCAAAUCCUCAUAGUAACAUUGUACUAUUGUACAUUAUUGUCAUUAUUAUUAUUAUUUAAGCUUCAGAAACAGGUUCAGGGCAUUCAACUAAAAGAAGGUACAGAACUGAUUCAAACUAGUUCUGCCUGAUUCAAUAUCCCAUAUUUUUUAAUUAUACAAAGC